rnacentral:lncRNA from 1 species
UGAUGAAAAAACGACGACGUACCGGAACAAACCCUCAGGUAGCAAUAACCAAAUCAAGUGUGUUGACAGGUGAAACUAAUGGUGAAAGAUACCCACGACGUGCCCUUGCGCCUAAAAAUUAUAAAGAACCCUCUGUUCCCGAUGAGGACACUUUGAUCUAUUGCGAUACAUGCCACGACACUUUUGAAGGAGG